UGGAAGUGAGAUACAAAACAAAAACAGAGCUUUUUUUGUUGCCAUUUGCACUUCCUAGAAUAAACACACUCUCUGAUGACCAUUGCAGUUAAGUAAUAACAAUGGACAGAUACGGAGUGAAUAUUU